GUCCUCCUCGCAGCGCGGCGACCCCGCCCACUGCAGCUACGUCUUCGCCCGCAGCCCAGGGAGCUGCGGACUGCGGCUGGACGUGGACAGGUUCCGGACACGCAGCACGGACGGCUGCACGGACGAGUUCUUGCAGCUGGACGGCCGCAGGUUCUGCGGCUCGCAGCUGCGGAACCUCUCCAAGGAAAUCCUCUUCAACGGGUCAGACAUCACUGUUCCGUACCUGAUAGAAGAUGGAACCAAGACUUCCAAUUGGCACUUCUCAUACAAAUAU